rnacentral:pre_miRNA from 1 species
UUUCUACUCCCUCUGUCCAAAAAUACUUGUCAUCAAAAUGGAUAAAAAUAGAUGUAUCUAAAACUAAAAUACGUCUAGAUACAUUUCCUUUUAUCCAUUUUAAUGACAAGUAUUUUCGGACGGAGGGAGUAUUCG